CAGUCGCCGCGGUAACACGGAGGGUGCAAGCGUUAUCCGGAUUUAUUGGGUUUAAAGGGUCCGUAGGCGGACUUAUAAGUCAGUGGUGAAAGCCUGUCGCUUAACGAUAGAACUGCCAUUGAUACUGUAAGUCUUGAGUAUAUUUGAGGUAGCUGGAAUAAGUAGUGUAGCGGUGAAAUGCAUAGAUAUUACUUAGAACACCAAUUGCGAAGGCAGGUUACCAAGAUAUAACUGACGCUGAGGGACGAAAGCGUGGGUAGCGAACAGGAUUAGAUACCCCAGUAGUCCCUGUCUCUUAUAC
rnacentral:rRNA from 1 species